AGUGCGCAGAGGACGCGGCGGGAGCAUGUACCGGCUCCUGAGCUGGAGCCUGGGCCGAGGCUUCCUGCGGGCCGCGGGGCGGCGGUGCCGGGGCUGCUCCGCGCGCCUGCUCCCGGGGCUGGCAGGAGGUCCGGGGCCCGAGGUGCAGGUGCCGCCAUCCCGAGUCGCGCCGCACGGCCGGGGCCCAGGCCUGCUGCCGCUGCUGGCAGCGCUCGCCUGGUUCUCGAGGCCCGCUGCGGCAGAGGAGGAGGAGCAGCAGGGAGCCGACGGGGCCGCUGCCGAGGACGGGGCGGACGAGGCCGAGGCAGAGAUCAUCCAGCUGCUGAAGCGAGCCAAGGUGAGGCGGCUCCGGGCCCUGCGCCCGGCCGAGCGCGGUAGCCUUUGUGAGCGGGGUCUUGGCGUUGCUGCGCAUUACUCUCUCCGCCUCGCCGAAGAGUGGAUGGAGGCUCCGCGGGUAAAAUUGCCGAGAAUGAGGUGGGUCAUCCGAGAGGGGAUUGGAAUCCAUCCAGGCUUUUCCGACUCUAAGGCCUGCAGUAAAACCUCUGCAGUGUC
rnacentral:sRNA from 1 species